UACGGGGGGGGGCAAGCGUUGUCCGGAAUCACUGGGCGUAAAGCGCGCGUAGGCGGCUUUGUAAGUUAGAGGUGAAAGCCCGGAGCUCAACUCCGGAAUUGCCUUUAAGACUGCAUCGCUAGAAUCAUGGAGAGGUUAGUGGAAUUCCGAGUGUAGAGGUGAAAUUCGUAGAUGAUUCGGAAGAACACCAGUGGCGAAGGCGACUAACUAGACAUGUAUUGACGCUGAGGUGCGAAAGCGUGGGGAGCAA
rnacentral:rRNA from 1 species